CACGGGUGCGUAACGCGUAUGCAAUCUACCUUUUACAGAGGGAUAGCCCAGAGAAAUUUGGAUUAAUACCUCAUAGUAUUACGAAAUGGCAUCAUUUUGUAAUUAAAGUCACAACGGUGAAAGAUGAGCAUGCGUCCCAUUAGCUAGUUGGUAAGGUAACGGCUUACCAAGGCUACGAUGGGUAGGGGUCCUGAGAGGGAGAUCCCCCACACUGGUACUGAGACACGGACCAGACUCCUACGGGAGGCAGCAGUGAGGAAUAUUGGACAAUGGGCGCAAGCCUGAUCCAGCCAUGCCGCGUGCAGGAUGACGGUCCUAUGGAUUGUAAACUGCUUUUGCACAGGAAGAAACAACGCUACGUGUAGCGUCUUGACGGUACUGUGAGAAUAAGGAUCGGCUAACUCCGUGCCAGCAGCCGCGGUAAUACGGAGGAUCCAAGCGUUAUCCGGAAUCAUUGGGUUUAAAGGGUCCGUAGGCGGUUUAGUAAGUCAGUGGUGAAAGCCCAUCGCUCAACGGUGGAACGGCCAUUGAUACUGCUAGACUUGAAUUAUUAGGAAGUAACUAGAAUAUGUAGUGUAGCGGUGAAAUGCUUAGAGAUUACAUGGAAUACCAAUUGCGAAGGCAGGUUACUACUAAUGGAUUGACGCUGAUGGACGAAAGCGUGGGUAGCGAACAGGAUUAGAUACCCUGGUAGUCCACGCCGUANACGAUGGAUACUAGCUGUUGGGAGCAAUCUCAGUGGCUAAGCGAAAGUGAUAAGUAUCCCACCUGGGGAGUACGUUCGCAAGAAUGAAACUCAAGGAAUUGACGGGGCCCGCACAGCGGUGGACAUGUGGUUUAUUCGAUG
rnacentral:rRNA from 1 species